rnacentral:rRNA from 1 species
GUGGGGAAUUUUGGACAAUGGGCGCAAGCCUGAUCCAGCAAUGCCGCGUGCAGGAAGAAGGCCUUCGGGUUGUAAACUGCUUUUGUACGGAACGAAACGGUCCUGGUUAAUACCUGGGGCUAAUGACGGUACCGUAAGAAUAAGCACCGGCUAGCUACGUGCCAGCAGCCGCGGUAAUACGUAGGGUGCGAGCGUUAAUCGGAAUUACUGGGCGUAAAGCGUGCGCAGGCGGUUUUGUAAGAUCGAUGUGAAAUCCCCGGGCUCAACCUGGGAACUGCAUUGGUGACUGCAAGGCUGGAGUGCGGCAGAGGGGGAUGGAAUUCCGCGUGUAGCAGUGAAAUGCGUAGAUAUGCGGAGGAACACCGAUGGCGAAGGCAAUCCCCUGGGCCUGCACUGACGCUCAUGCACGAAAGCGUGGGGAGCAAACAGGAUUAGAUACCCGUGUAGUCC